UACGUAGGGUGCAAGCGUUAAUCGGAAUUACUGGGCGUAAAGCGUGCGCAGGCGGUUGUGCAAGACAGAUGUGAAAUCCCCGGGCUCAACCUGGGAAUUGCAUUUGUGACUGCACGGCUAGAGUGUGUCAGAGGGGGGUGGAAUUCCGCGUGUAGCAGUGAAAUGCGUAGAGAUGCGGAGGAACACCGAUGGCGAAGGCAGCCCCCUGGGCUGACACUGACGCUCAGGCACGAAAGCGUGGGGAGCAAACAGG
rnacentral:rRNA from 1 species